rnacentral:rRNA from 1 species
UACGUAGGGGGCAAGCGUUGUCCGGGAUCAUUGGGCGUAAAGAGCGUGUAGGCGGCCCGGUCAGUCCGCCGUGAAAGUCCAGGGCUCAACCCUGGAAUGCCGGUGGAUACUGCCCGGGCUGGAGUCCGGAAGAGGCGAGUGGAAUUCCUGGUGUAGCGGUGAAAUGCGCAGAUAUCAGGAGGAACACCGAUGGCGAAGGCAGCUCGCUGGGACGGUACUGACGCUGAGACGCGAAAGCGUGGGGAGCAAACAGG